GAAACCCCAAUAGGAACACUGCUGAAAUGCACACGCUCUGCAGCUUCACCUGGGAGGUUUCUCAGCUGCGCAUAGGAGGCAGUGUUUCCAGUGGGUAGGUCAGGGUUCAGCAGACCUGGGCUCUAAUCCUGACUGUACACUGGUUUGAUGGUCGACCUUGGACAGUAUCGGAGGGGUAGCCGUGUUACUCUGGAUCUGUAAAAAGCAACAACCUUGGACAAAUCACUUUCCUGCCCCGUGCCUCAGUUUCCCCAUCUGUAAAAAGGGGAUAACGCUACUGACCUCCUUCAUAAAGCAGCCCUAGAGCUGCUGAUGAACAGUGCUCUAUAAGGGCUGUAAUAUAUGUAAAAACAGCCACACUAGGUCAGGCCAAAAGUCCAUCUAGCCCAGUAUCCUGUCUUCUGACAGGGGCCAGUGCCAGGUGUCCCAGAGGGAAUGAACU